rnacentral:lncRNA from 12 species
GAUUGCUCCCAAAGCAAAUACUGACUUAGAUUUCUGGUGCUUCAUUUUUAGUAGUAUUUCAUCUGUCCAAGCCACAAAGUCUGAUCUAAGUUAGAAGAUGACACUGGGCUGUAAUAUUCAAGGAGGAAAUAGAGCUGCUCCAUGGAUUUGAAGUUGUGAAAAUGUAUUUUCAUGUAUAUAUCACAUCCAGUUAUUCCAUGAUGAGGCUCCCAAAACAUUAUCAGAAGCACUGGUUGGAGGCACAAAUAGGUUUGUUGCUAAACGUUCCUGACAGUUUUUAGGUCAGCUGCUUCCAGAAUGAGCACCUGGAUGAGCCUGAAUUAUCACCCACUCAUGGCCUGUAGAGACUCAAGAGGUCUAACAUAGGAAAAAAGCAUCAUAUAAGAAAUAUUAAUAUUCUUAAUAAGAAAAUUUCUUAAAAUUUCUUAAUAAGAAAAUUACACCCUUAUUUCACAAAGCUUUCCUCCCUGUUCUCUAGUUAGUAUCAUUCACAGCACCCAGAAGACCCAAUCAACCCAAAUGCUUCACAAAAGACAGGAUUAAAAAAAAGGGAAAAAAAAAAAGAAAGAAAAAAAAAAGAAAAAGAAAAAGAAAAAGAAAAAGAAAAAGAAAAAGAAAAAGAAAAAGAAAAAGAAAAAGAAAAAGAAAAAGAAAAA